rnacentral:rRNA from 1 species
AAGAGGAGCCGCGUCAGAUUAGGUAGUUGGUGGGGUAAAGGCGUACCAGGCCUGUGAUCUGUAGCUGGUCUGAGAGGAUGAUCAGCCACACUGGGACUGAGACACGGCCCAGACUCCUACGGGAGGCAGCAGUGGGGAAUAUUGGACAAUGGGCGGAAGCCUGAUCCAGCCAUGCCGCGUGUGUGAAGAAGGCCUUUUGGUUGUAAAGCACUUUAAGCGAGGAGGAGGCUACUAGUACUAAUACUACUGGAUAGUGGACGUUACUCGCAGAAUAAGCACCGGCUAACUCUGUGC